AAAGACUCACUUAUUUCACUCAUCAUGGUUUUGGCUUCCCUUCUCCUCCCACUGAUCACUUAUUUCUCAGGUUCCUUUGCACAGACGGAGGCGCUGAGGCAGCCACCGUCAGUCUCUGUCUCUCUGGAAAAAAAUGCCCAAGUCACCUGUUCAGGGGACCUCAUCGCUGAGGAAGAUGUGAACUGGUACCAGCAGAAACCAGGCAUGGCCCCAGUACUCAUUAUAUACUGGGAUGGCAACAGACCCUCAGGGAUCUCAGACCGAUUCUCGGGCUCCAAAUCUGGCAACACGGCCACAUUAAGCAUCUCAAGGGCCAAAGUGGAGGAUGAGGCGGAUUAUUACUGCCAGGUGUGGGACAGCAGUGCAGAGCAGCACACAGUGAUUCAGCCAGGGGAGGAAGCAAGACAAAAACCUCUCGCUAUGAAAAGUAGUUGCUCGCCACCUGUACCGUUGUGA